CUGACGUAACUUUCUGCAAUCUCCGCGACUGGAAUGUCGUCAAUCACAUUGGCCAACGUAUGUGGCCUGAUGAGCCAUUGGAGAGGGCUUUUUCCUACCUGCCGUCCCAGCAAGCAAUCGCCGGCAUGUAGAAGUUCCUGCGAGACACACGAUCACAUAGCUGGCCGUAUCCCGGGGAAACCGCUUCGAUAGGCUUCCAUGAAUUUGGCGCAGUUGUGCUGUGAGGGUUUCUGCCGUU
rnacentral:misc_RNA from 1 species